UACGUAGGUGGCAAGCGUUGUCCGGAAUUAUUGGGCGUAAAGCGCGCGCAGGCGGUCCUUUAAGUCUGAUGUGAAAUCCCGUGGCUUAACCACGGGCGGUCAUUGGAAACUGGGGGACUUGAGUGCAGAAGAGAAGAGCGGAAUUCCACGUGUAGCGGUGAAAUGCGUAGAGAUGUGGAGGAACACCAGUGGCGAAGGCGGCUCUUUGGUCUGUAACUGACGCUGAGGCGCGAGAGCGUGGGGAGCGAACAGG
rnacentral:rRNA from 1 species